rnacentral:rRNA from 1 species
GACGAACGCUGGCGGCGUGCUUAACACAUGCAAGUCGAACGGAAAGGCCCCUUUGGGGGUACUCGAGUGGCGAACGGGUGAGUAACACGUGAGUAACCUGCCCUUGUCUUCGGGAUAACUUCAGGAAACUGGGGCUAAUACCGGAUAGGAAUCCUUGCUGCAUGGUGGGGGUUGGAAAGCUUCGGCGGUCUUGGAUGGACUCGCGGCUUAUCAGCUUGUUGGUGGGGUAGUGGCUUACCAAGGCUUUGACGGGUAGCCGGCCUGAGAGGGCGACCGGCCACAUUGGGACUGAGGUAAGGCACAGACUGCUACGGGAGGCAGCUGUGGGGAAUAUUGCACAAUGGGCGGAAGCCUGAUGCAGCAACGCCGCGUGCGGGAUGACGGCCUUCGGGGUGAAAACCGCUUUCAGCAGGAGCAAAGCAUGUGGUGACGGUACCUGCAGAAGAAGCACCGGCUAACUACGUG